CUGCAGCUCAAGUGGUGACCACUAUUAUUGGGCCUAAAUCGUUCGUAGCCGGUUUGGUAAAUGCCUGGGUAAAUCGUGUAGCUUAACUAUACGAAUUCCGGGUAGACUGCCAAACUUGAGACCGGGAGAAGCUAGAGGUACUCCUGGGGUAGAGGUGAAAUUCUGUAAUCCUGGGGGGACCACCAGUGGCGAAGGCGUCUAGCUAGAACGGGUCUGACGGUGAGGAACGAAGCCCUGGGGCGCAAACCGGAUUAGAUACCCGAGUAGUCC
rnacentral:rRNA from 1 species